rnacentral:rRNA from 1 species
UACGUAGGGCGCAAGCGUUAUCCGGAAUUAUUGGGCGUAAAGAGCUCGUAGGCGGUUUGUCGCGUCUGCUGUGAAAGACCGGGGCUCAACUCCGGUUCUGCAGUGGGUACGGGCAGACUAGAGUGCAGUAGGGGAGACUGGAAUUCCUGGUGUAGCGGUGAAAUGCGCAGAUAAUCAGGAGGAACACCGAUGGCGAAGGCAGGUCUCUGGGCUGUAACUGACGCUGAGGAGCGAAAGCAUGGGGAGCGAACAGG